rfam:Chlorocebus sabaeus isolate 1994-021 chromosome 16, whole genome shotgun sequence.
GCCGGGCGCGGUGGCUCAAGCCUGUAAUCCCAGCACUUUGGGAGGCCGAGACGGGCGGAUCGCGAGGUCAGAAGAUCGAGACCAUCCUGGCUAACACGGUGAAACCCCGUCUCUACUAAAAAGACAAAAAAAAACUAGCCAGGCGAGGUGGCGGGCCCCUGUAGUCCCAGCUACUCCNNNNNNNNNNGGAGUAGCUGGGACUACAGGGGCCCGCCACCUCGCCUGGCUAGUUUUUUUUUGUCUUUUUAGUAGAGACGGGGUUUCACCGUGUUAGCCAGGAUGGUCUCGAUCUCCUGACCUCGUGAUCCACCCGUCUCGGC